rfam:Dipodomys ordii contig_40262, whole genome shotgun sequence.
GGGAAGGUGGCUCAGUGGUAGAGUGCUUGCCUUGCAUGCAUGAGGCCCUGGAUUCCAUUCCU